CAAAACCCAACGAACUGGGAGCGAGAACGAUGGGACUGGGCAGCGGCAGCGCCGAAACGUCGUCGUUGAUGAGCGAGUUCCUCUUGCAAACCGGAGGAACCGCCGUGGUGGACGGAGGGCUAGCGACGGAGCUGGAGCGCCACGGCGCGGACCUCAACGAUCCGCUCUGGAGCGCCAAGUGCCUCCUCACUUCCCCUCACCUUAUUCGCGAGGUACACCUUAAUUACCUUGAAGCUGGUGCAGAUAUUAUAAUCUCAGCAUCUUAUCAGGCCACAAUUCAGGGCUUCCAGGCUAAAGGAUUUUCUAGAGAAGAAGGUGAAACCUUGCUUAGAAGAAGUGUUGAAAUCGCCUGUGAGGCACGAGAUAAUUAUUAUGAAAGAUGUGUUGAAUGUUCAUCAAAUGACACUGGAGAUGGUAGAAUUCUCAAACAUCGUCCCAUAUUAGUUGCAGCAUCUGUGGGGAGCUAUGGGGCUUACUUGGCUGAUGGGUCUGAGUACAGUGGCAAUUAUGGUGAUGCAAUUACAUUAGAAACGUUGAAAGAUUUUCAUCGGAGAAGGGUUCAAGUCCUAGCAGAGUCAGGUGCUGACCUAAUUGCAUUUGAAACAGUUCCUAAUAAACUAGAAGCUCAGGCUUUUGCGGAUAUUUUGGAGGAGGAAGACAUAAAGAUUCCUGCAUGGUUUUCUUUCAAUUCUAAAGAUGGUGUAAAUGUGGUUAGUGGUGAUUCCAUUCUUGAAUGUGCAUCCAUUGCCGAAUCAUGCAAGAAAGUUGUUGCAGUGGGAAUCAACUGUACCCCACCUAGAUUCAUUCGUGGACUGAUAUUAUCUAUUAAAAAGGUGUCAACUAAACCUAUAGUCAUAUAUCCAAACAGUGGCGAAUGUUAUGAUGCUGAGCAAAAGGAGUGGGUGCAAAAUACUGGGGUUUCAGAUGAGGAUUUUGUCUCAUAUGUAGACAGAUGGUGUGAGGUAGGGGCUUCCCUUGUUGGAGGCUGUUGCCGAACAACUCCAAAGACAAUUAAAGCCAUAUACAGGACUCUUUCCAAUAGAUCUGCUGUUGCUCUACUACCCAUAGUAACUGCUGUGACUAGCAGAGAGGAAAACCAUCUCUUUAAUGCUGAUGGUGAAAAGGCUUGCUCUGUCUGAAGAAAAUUCUUCUGGUUGUCAUGUGGGAGGAGGGCCUCUUACAAGCUGUUUAUGGGAUGGGAUAAGGCAGUUUCCUCAUGAAGUUGCAUAUGUGAAUCUUAGAGCCAAGGGAGUAGCAUAUGGGAAUUCCACUUGUCUUGAAUUUUCACCUGUUUAUUAUAAAUGUCAAAUUUCUCAGUGGCAGCUGCAGUUAUAAGUAAUGAUGAGGUGAAACCAUAGAAGCUUCUUCUCUUAGACUUGAUUCUACAUAAGUACAUAUGUUAAUUUUGAGAGCUAGUUUAUAUACUC